rnacentral:rRNA from 1 species
UACGUAGGUGGCAAGCGUUGUCCGGAUUUAUUGGGUUUAAAGGGUGCGUAGGCGGCUUUGUAAGUCAGUGGUGAAAUACGGCAGCUCAACUGUCAGGGUGCCAUUGAUACUGCGGAGCUUGAGUACAGAUGAGGUAGGCGGAAUUGACGGUGUAGCGGUGAAAUGCUUAGAUAUCGUCAAGAACACCGAUAGCGAAGGCAGCUUACUGGGCUGUAACUGACGCUGAGGCACGAAAGUGUGGGGAUCAAACAGG